rnacentral:rRNA from 1 species
GGGGAAUUUUGGACAAUGGGGGCAACCCUGAUCCAGCCAUGCCGCGUGCAGGAUGAAGGCCUCGGUUGUAAACUGCUUUGUUCAGGGACGAAAAGGUUUUAGUCUAAUACCAGAAACUGCUGACGGUACCUGAAGAAUAAGCACCGGCUAACUACGUGCCAGCAGCCGCGGUAAUACGUAGGGUGCAAGCGUUAAUCGGAAUUACUGGGCGUAAAGCGUGCGCAGGCGGUUUCGUAAGACUGAAGUUAAAGGCUGUGGCUCAACCAUAGUUCGCUUUGGAAACUGUCAAACUUGAGUGCAGAAGGGGAGAGUGGAAUUCCAUGUGUAGCGGUGAAAUGCGUAGAUAUAUGGAGGAACACCGGUGGCGAAAGCGGCUCUCUGGUCUGUAACUGACGCUGAGGCUCGAAAGCGUGGGUCGACGCGGCCG